GCAAAUUUCAAUCCAGGUUUUGAAUGUCUCUUUGUAAUGCUAUAACUUGGUCAAUUUGGUUGGCAAGAAAUGAUAAACCCUUUAAUGGAAAAGAUGCAGAUGUUCCUUCUUUAUGUGCCCUCAUCUUGCAUCGUGUAGCAACAUGGAUGAAAGCACUUGAUCCUUUAUUUCCUUUUUUAGGUAUUGACCUAUUAAUCACUUCAAUGUCUAUCAGAUCAUAGUCAUAUCCAAUAAAGAAGAAAUAACUAGCUUCCUGGAGCCUUCCUCCAUUAAAUUGCCACAAAUGGAAUGUUGAUGGCUCGUCCAUAGGAAAACCAGGGAGGAGUGGAAUAGGUGGAGUUCUUAGAGAUUGCAAUGGAAUUUUU
rnacentral:misc_RNA from 1 species